rnacentral:rRNA from 1 species
GACGAACGCUGGCGGCGUGCUUAACACAUGCAAGUCGAACGGAAAGGCCCUGCUUUUGUGGGGUGCUCGAGUGGCGAACGGGUGAGUAACACGUGAGUAACCUGCCCUUGACUUUGGGAUAAAUUCAGGAAACUGGGGCUAAUACCGGAUAGGAGCUCCUGCUGCAUGGGGGGGGAUGGAAAGUGUCGGCGGUGUGGGAUGGACUCGCGGCUUAUCAGCUUGUUGGGGGGGUAGUGGCUUACCAAGGCUUUGACGGGUAGCCGGCCUGGGAGGGUGACCGGCCACAUUGGGACUGCGAUACGGCCCAGACUCCUACGGGAGGCAGCAGUGGGGAAUAUUGCACAAUGGGCCGAAGCCUGAUGCAGCAACGCCGCGUGCGGGAUGACGGCCUUCGGGUUGUAAACCGCUUUCGCAUGUGCCGAAGCGUGAGUGACGGUACUGGGUAAAGAAGCACCGGCUAACUACGUG